UCUGGGUUCAAAUAAGCAUCUUUUUUGCAUGAAAUUCCCCAUUUUGAACACAUUUAAUCACAAUUCAAGAACAACCAAAUAAUCUAUGCAUUCAUUUUCUAAAUCUCCUGAAUAAUUUUGGGGAUCACUUCAGCCAACCCAGCUACUGUAGGGUGAAGGAGGGGUAAAUCCUAAACAGGUUGCUGCAGGACCACACCCACUUUUACGCCUAAGGGAUAAUCUAGAGCAGAGGUGUCCAAAUCCAGGCCUCGAGGGCUGACCUCCUGCUGGGAUUCCAGAAACCAUACUUUAUAUGCUGUGGAUUACCUGGAUCAGGUGUGUUUAGCCAACGAGGAGCUUCAAUGGCAGACCGUCACCUUGUGAUCUCAGUGAACCACCUGGAUCCCGGCUGCUACUGUUGACCUAAAAAUGGGCAAACAAGCCCUGCUGCGUGGAAAAGACCCAAAAUUUGAAUAAACGACUUCUGGAAGAGCCUUCCACUAAGGCCGUGAGCGGUAAUGAGGGCUGACACUGACCGGCCACCCCCACAGUGCCGUGUGUGCCGAUAGCUGCUGCCAUGGCAAACCGAUUCACGGCGAGAAGAACCAGCCUGGAGGGAAAAAGCUUGCCAACGUUGGUGGUGUCGGGCCUAAAAAGUCAAGAUGACGCGAAAUAUAGAGAGGAGGACAGGAGGCCCCUGUCAUUUCCCAAGCUGGCUGAUCAUAUCAUUAUCAUUCCGUGGGAUAUGUAUUUAAGUGGUUCAGGAGGCACAGGUAAGCAGAUCUCUUGUCCGAUGUAGUGACGAGCUGUUAUCAAAGCAUUACAAAGCCACAAAAACAGCACGCCGGGACAAAGACACUCUGCUGCUGCUCAUAAAACAUUUGCAGAGGUUCCCCUUCCGGUUUCAGACUCUCCGGACGAGACAGUGAAGUGAUGAGCGCAGAAAGAGCUGACAUCAGUGCGAUGUCGAUUUCCACUGAGUGACACGCUCCCCCCAAAAUGUGGAGCAGGGAAACCGGUCUGAGGCAGUCUGUUGUGCAGAAGUGUUUUUCAUUUUCUCCCCCCACGUGUUUCUUUGAGGGGCAGAGCCCUCUGCUGGAUGGAAGAGGUAACUACAUGUUGUUUACCAGGACCUCCUCACCUUUAUGCAUCCAAAUAUUGAGAUUUAUCCCCUCAAGAAUGACCCCCCCAAAAAAAUAUUUACUCUAUCAGAGGUCAAAUUUUGGUCAUGUUUUAAAGAUUAUGGAGAAAAUGUAACAUUUUGGACAUUUCUGGACACUAGUAAAACAUUUAACCAGCGAUAAACUUUAAAUAUUGAUUCACUACUGUUCUAUUUCUGGUCUGUCAAUGAAUUUGCUAAGAUAAACAAAGAACCGCAUGGAAGAGGACAACAUUCACAGAGAAAAAUCAAAGAACUGGCAACACGUGGCCUCAUCGUCGAUUCAAGCAAUGAUGGAUCUUUUUCCUCUGUCCACAUCAUGUCUCUUAUGGUCCGCAUGUACAGUAGUGAAAAGCUUUGUUAUGCAACAGCUUGAAUAUGUUUACUGAGGGGGAAUGCACUUGUUAAAAUCAGCAUUAUCAGCAGCUAUUGUUAUACCGGGCCGCUCGAGUCCUCGAGUAGGAAUUGUGGCUAGUUUUAGGUCAAUCCAUGGCCAACAAUUACCAAAACGGUUCAUUUGAAUUUAAGAUUUGUACAUUUUUGUGCUGCAGAAAAAAGCGUCUCAUCCAGGGGAGGAGAAACCAAUGACAUUUGAAUCUAUAGUCAGUCAAAUCAAUCAAUUUCUCCCCUGCAGUGAAUGAGUAACGUCUUUCCUGAUCCUCAAGGCUUCAUCCGUUACAGUAUGCGGAUGAUCAAUGACCCAGUUCUGCCCAGUUCUGCAUCCUCACUGCCACUCUCUCUUUGGGAGCAGACUGAACUGGGUUGGGGGUUAUGUAACCACCAGUGUCUGUGAUCAGAGAUCCUCUGCAGCUCUUCUUCCCCUAAUCUUUUUCAGCUUGAUUACUCCUCCACCCCCCCCCUUCUGCCGACUCAUCCCACGGCGGGUUUUCACACACGAACUGGAUCCGCCGCGCUCCGGUUUAGAGCGGAUGGGAUGCCCGUAGCAGCAGGUGUCAGACCAUACAUGUGUGCUUUGUGACAUCUCAUGACAAAGAUAAAGAAGAAGUGAGUUGAUUGUCGUCGAGGUCACUUGUGCGUGCUGACUCCCCACUUGUGCGUCACAAUCUCAAGUCUUUAGUGUCUGAAUUUGCAGCCGUUUCGGUUUUCAUCUCCUUAUUCUGCUGACAUUCUGACAUCAACAUGUUCUUUUCUGACUGAUCCCAUCUGAAGUGUUGGCAUAAAAGAGGUCAACCACCUGAGUGGCUUAGACGCGUUUAUCAUUUACCAACAUCUGAUGCUGCCCAAGAAUCAUAACUUCAUCCGUGCAAUAACGCUCCUCCUGCUGGAACGCUGGGGUUACGAAAGAGCUGCGAAGACGAUGAAGGCUUGAGACAAAGGAGGACUGACAGCCUUGCAGCAUUUGAG